rnacentral:rRNA from 1 species
UACGUAGGGUGCAAGCGUUAUCCGGAUUCACUGGGUUUAAAGGGUGCGUAGGUGGUUCUGUAAGUCAGUUGUGAAAUCUCCAAGCUUAACUUGGAAACUGCCGUUGAUACUAUAGACCUUGAAUGCUGUGGAGGUGAGCGGAAUAUGUCAUGUAGCGGUGAAAUGCUUAGAUAUGACAUAGAACACCAAUUGCGAAGGCAGCUCACUGCCAAGAUAUUGACACUGAGGCACGAAAGCGUGGGGAUCAAACAGG